rnacentral:rRNA from 1 species
UACGUAGGAUGCGAGCGUUGUCCGGGAUUAUUGGGCGUAAAGCGAACGUAGGCGGCUUCUUAAGUUUGGUCUUAAAGCCCGGGGCUCAACCUCGGUACUGGACUGGAUACUGGGAGGCUGGAGGGUGGCAGAGGAAAGUGGAAUUCCCAGUGUAGCGGUGAAAUGCGUAGAUAUCAAGCGGAACACCGGUGGCGAAGGCGGCCUUCUGGACAGUGACUGACGCUGAGACGCGAAAGCGUGGGGAGCAAACAGG